GAUGAACGCUGGCGGCGUGCCUAAUACAUGCGAGUCGAGCGAACAGACGAGGAGCUUGCUCCUCUGACGUUAGCGGCGGACGGGUGAGUAACACGUGGAUAACCUACCUAUAAGACUGGGAUAACUUCGGGAAACCGGAGCUAAUACCGGAUAAUAUAUUGAACCGCAUGGUUCAAUAGUGAAAGACGGUUUUGCUGUCACUUAUAGAUGGAUCCGCGCCGCACUAGCUAGUUGGUAAGGUAACGGCUUACCAAGGCAACGAUGCGUAGCCGACCUGAGAGGGUGAUCGGCCACACUGGAACUGAGACACGGUCCAGACUCCUACGGGAGGCAGCAGUAGGGAAUCUUCCGCAAUGGGCGAAAGCCUGACGGAGCAACGCCGCGUGAGUGAUGAAGGUCUUCGGAUCGUAAAACUCUGUUAUUAGGGAAGAACAAAUGUGUAAGUAACUAUGCACGUCUUGACGGUACCUAAUCAGAAAGCCACGGCUAACUACGUG
rnacentral:rRNA from 1 species